GAUGAACGCUGGCGGCGUGCCUAAUACAUGCAAGUCGAGCGAACGGACGAGAAGCUUGCUUCUCUGAUGUUAGCGGCGGACGGGUGAGUAACACGUGGAUAACCUACCUAUAAGACUGGGAUAACUUCGGGAAACCGGAGCUAAUACCGGAUAAUAUUUUGAACCGCAUGGUUCAAAAGUGAAAGACGGUCUUGCUGUCACUUAUAGAUGGAUCCGCGCUGCAUUAGCUAGUUGGUAAGGUAACGGCUUACCAAGGCAACGAUGCAUAGCCGACCUGAGAGGGUGAUCGGCCACACUGGAACUGAGACACGGUCCAGACUCCUACGGGAGGCAGCAGUAGGGAAUCUUCCGCAAUGGGCGAAAGCCUGACGGAGCAACGCCGCGUGAGUGAUGAAGGUCUUCGGAUCGUAAAACUCUGUUAUUAGGGAAGAACAUAUGUGUAAGUAACUGUGCACAUCUUGACGGUACCUAAUCAGAAAGCCACGGCUAACUACGUGCCAGCAGCCGCGGUAAUACGUAGGUGGCAAGCGUUAUCCGGAAUUAUUGGGCGUAAAGCGCGCGUAGGCGGUUUUUUAAGUCUGAUGUGAAAGCCCACGGCUCAACCGUGGAGGGUCAUUGGAAACUGGAAAACUUGAGUGCAGAAGAGGAAAGUGGAAUUCCAUGUGUAGCGGUGAAAUGCGCAGAGAUAUGGAGGAACACCAGUGGCGAAGGCGACUUUCUGGUCUGUAACUGACGCUGAUGUGCGAAAGCGUGGGGAUCAAACAGGAUUAGAUACCCUGGUAGUCCACGCCGUAAACGAUGAGUGCUAAGUGUUAGGGGGUUUCCGCCCCUUAGUGCUGCAGCUAACGCAUUAAGCACUCCGCCUGGGGAGUACGACCGCAAGGUUGAAACUCAAAGGAAUUGACGGGGACCCGCACAAGCGGUGGAGCAUGUGGUUUAAUCCGAAGCAACGCGAAGAACCUUACCAAAUCUUGACAUCCUUUGACAACUCUAGAGAUAGAGCCUUCCCCUUCGGGGGACAAAGUGACAGGUGGUGCAUGGUUGUCGUCAGCUCGUGUCGUGAGAUGUUGGGUUAAGUCCCGCAACGAGCGCAACCCUUAAGCUUAGUUGCCAUCAUUAAGUUGGGCACUCUAAGUUGACUGCCGGUGACAAACCGGAGGAAGGUGGGGAUGACGUCAAAUCAUCAUGCCCCUUAUGAUUUGGGCUACACACGUGCUACAAUGGACAAUACAAAGGGCAGCGAAACCGCGAGGUCAAGCAAAUCCCAUAAAGUUGUUCUCAGUUCGGAUUGUAGUCUGCAACUCGACUACAUGAAGCUGGAAUCGCUAGUAAUCGUAGAUCAGCAUGCUACGGUGAAUACGUUCCCGGGUCU
rnacentral:rRNA from 1 species